rnacentral:rRNA from 1 species
AAUAUUGCGCAAUGGACGGAAGGCUGACGCAGCGACGCCGCGUGAUCGAUGAAGGUCUUCGGAUCGUAAAUCAAUUUCCUUGGGGAAGAAGGGCCUCGGCCUCGACGGUACCCAAAUAGAAAGCACCGCCUAAUUUGGUGCUAGCAGCCGCGGUAAUACGUAGGGGGCGAGCGUUGUCCGGAAUUACUGGGCGUAAAGCGAGCGUAAGUGGUUCAGUAAGAUGGGUGUGACAUCCCCGGGCUUAACCUGGGAACUGCUUUCAUAACUGCUGAGCUAGAGUACGGUAGAGGGUAGUGGAAUUUCCUGUGUAGCGGUGAAAUGCGUAGAUAUAGGAAGGAACACCAGUGGCGAAGGCGACCACCUGGGCUAAUACUGACACUGAGGUGCGAAAGCGUGGGGAGCAAAC